UGGGGAAUUUUGGACAAUGGGCGAAAGCCUGAUCCAGCAAUGCCGCGUGUGUGAAGAAGGCCUUCGGGUUGUAAAGCACUUUUGUCCGGAAAGAAAUCCUUGGCUCUAAUACAGUCGGGGGAUGACGGUACCGGAAGAAUAAGCACCGGCUAACUACGUGCCAGCAGCCGCGGUAAUACGUAGGGUGCAAGCGUUAAUCGGAAUUACUGGGCGUAAAGCGUGCGCAGGCGGUUUGCUAAGACCGAUGUGAAAUCCCCGGGCUCAACCUGGGAACUGCAUUGGUGACUGGCAGGCUAGAGUAUGGCAGAGGGGGGUAGAAUUCCACGUGUAGCAGUGAAAUGCGUAGAGAUGUGGAGGAAUACCGAUGGCGAAGGCAGCCCCCUGGGCCAAUACUGACGCUCAUGCACGAAAGCGUGGGGAGCAAACAGGAUUAGAUACCCUGGUAGUCCACGCCCUAAAACGAUGUCAACUAGUUGUUGGGGAUUCAUUUUCCUUAGUAACGUAGCUAACGCGUGAAGUUGACCGCCUGGGGAGUACGGUCGCAAGAUUAAAACUCAAAUGAAUUGACGGGGUCAUAGCUGUUUCCU
rnacentral:rRNA from 1 species